GAAAUGCGAUAAGUAAUGUGAAUUGCAGAAUUCAGUGAAUCAUCGAAUCUUUGAACGCACAUUGCGCUCCUUGGUAUUCCUUGGAGCAUGCCUGUUUGAGUAUCAUGAAAUCUUCAAAGUAAAUCUUUUGUUAACUCAAUCGGUUUCUACUUUGGUAUUGGAGGUCUUUGCAGCUUCACACCUGCUCCUCUUUGUUCAUUAGCUGGAUCUCAGUGUUAUGCUUGGUUCCACUCGGCGUGAUAAGUUAUCUAUCGCUGAGGACACUGUAAAAGGUGGCCAAGGUAAAUGCAGAUGAACCGCUUCUAAUAGUCCAUUGACUUGGACAAUACUUUUAUGAUCUGAUCUCAAAUCAGGUAGGACUACCCGCUGAACUUAAGC
rnacentral:misc_RNA from 1 species